rnacentral:rRNA from 1 species
UACGUAGGGGGCGAGCGUUGUCCGGAAUCAUUGGGCGUAAGGAGCGUGUAGGCGGCUUGGCAAGUCUGACGUGAAAGCCCGCGGCUCAACCGCGGAUUGUCGUUGGAAACUGCCUCGCUAGAGUCCGGAAGAGGAGAGCGGAAUUCCUGGUGUAGCGGUGGAAUGCGCAGAUAUCAGGAAGAACACCCGUGGCGAAGGCGGCUCUCUGGGACGGUACUGACGCUGAGACGCGAAAGCGUGGGGAGCGAACAGG